rnacentral:rRNA from 1 species
AUUGAACGCUGGCGGCAGGCCUAACACAUGCAAGUCAAGCGGCAGCGACUUAACUGAACCUUCGGGGAACGUUAAGGGCGGCGAGCGGCGGACGGGUGAGUAAUGCCUGGGAAUAUGCCCUGAUGUGGGGGAUAACUAUUGGAAACGAUAGCUAAUACCGCAUAAUCUCUUCGGAGCAAAGAGGGGGACCUUCGGGCCUCUCGCGUCAGGAUUAGCCCAGGUGGGAUUAGCUUGUUGGUGAGGUAAUGGCUCACCAAGGCAACGAUCCCUAGCUGGUCUGAGAGGAUGAUCAGCCACACUGGAACUGAGACACGGUCCAGACUCCUACGGGAGGCAGCAGUGGGGAAUAUUGCACAAUGGGGGAAACCCUGAUGCAGCCAUGCCGCGUGUGUGAAGAAGGCCUUCGGGUUGUAAAGCACUUUCAGUAGGGAGGAAGGUAGUGUAGUUAACACCUGCAUUAUUUGACGUUACCUACAGAAGAAGCACCGGCUAACUCCGUGCCAGCAGCCGCGGUAAUACGGAGGGUGCGAGCGUUAAUCGGAAUUACUGGGCGUAAAGCGCAUGCAGGCGGCCUGUUAAGUCAGAUGUGAAAGCCCGGGGCUUAACCUCGGAAUUGCAUUUGAAACUGGCAGGCUAGAGUCUUGUAGAGGGGGGUAGAAUUUUCAGGUGUAGCGGUGAAAUGCGUAGAGAUCUGAAGGAAUACCAGUGGCGAAGGCGGCCCCCUGGACAAAGACUGACGCUCAAUGCGAAAGCGUGGGGAGCAAACAGG